rnacentral:rRNA from 1 species
GACGAACGCUGGCGGCGUGCUUAACACAUGCAAGUCGAACGGAAAGGCCCUGCUUUUGUGGGGUGCUCGUGUGGCGAACGGGUGAGUAACACGUGAGUAACCUGCCCUUGACUUUGGGAUAACUUCAGGAAACUGGGGCUCAUACCGGAUAGGAGCUCCUGCUGCAUGGUGGGGGUUGGAAAGUUUCGGCGGUUGGGGAUGGACUCGCGGCUUAUCAGCUUGUUGGUGGGGUAGUGGCUUACCAAGGCUUUGACGGGUAGCCGGCCUGGGAGGGUGACCGGCCACAUUGGGACUGAGGUACGGCCCAGACGCCUACGGGAGGCAGCAGUGGGGAAUAUUGCAGAGUGGGCGGAAGCCUGAUGCAGCAACGCCGCGUGCGGGAUGACGGCCUUCGGGUUGUAAACCGCUGUCGCCUGUGACGAAGCGUGAGUGACGGUAAUGGGUAAAGAAGCACCGGCUAACUACGUG